rnacentral:rRNA from 1 species
UACGGAGGGGGCUAGCGUUGUUCGGAAUCAUUGGGCGUAAAGGGCGCGUAGGCGGCCGAUCAAGUCGGAGGUGAAAUCCCUCGGCUCAACUGAGGAAUUGCCUUCGAUACUGUUCGGCUUGAGUCCUGGAGAGGGUAGCGGAAUUCCCGGUGUAGCGGUGAAAUGCGCAGAUAUCAGGAGGAACACCGGUGGCGAAGGCGGGUCUCUGGGCAGUAACUGACGCUGAGGAGCGAAAGCGUGGGUAGCGAACAGG